GGUUGUGGCUCAGUGAUAGAGCACUUGCCUAGCAUGUGUGAGGCCCUGGGUUUGAUCCCCAGCACCA
rnacentral:tRNA from 1 species